rnacentral:lncRNA from 1 species
CAUGCGUGAAGGGAUGGGAGGAAAGAAAGGGCGGUAGAUGAUAAUGUGAAAGGGCGCCGCGUCUGGCUUCAUAGUAAAGCCAAAGAAAGACGCCCCAAGACAAGAUACAACUGUUGGGAAGGGGACAUGAUCAAUAGAACCUGGCUGGAUCCGGGCUGGGAUAGUGGCCCCCAUUCCUAACCAGUUCUGAAAAGGUUCGCUCAUGCUAGAGGUACUAACCACUUAGUGAUCGGUCUGCUAGUUCACGCAAAUCCGAAGAAGUUAUCAUGGACGAGCCACAUG